rnacentral:lncRNA from 1 species
UUAUUGAGUAGCUCUUGGAAAGAGCUUUUCGAAAUGAUAUGACACACCUCCAUAAGAUUCCCGGAUUGCAAGUUAUGAAGGUUUCAAGUAGCUUGCACAUCGAUCGAGGUGCAUGCACUUCGAGAUAGUGAGGCCCAUCAGUCCCAGCCAUAGUUAGGCUCGUGGCUUAUUGGGUCUAUAUAUAUCAGCCCCCAACAGCUCAUUUAAAUAUAGAAAGAAAAAAGAGAAGGCCAAUGAGAGAGAAAGUCCGAGUAUUUGAGAGAGAAAUGGAGCUUUUCUUUUGGUUAAACACUGUAAAUCUCUUCUGUAAACACUUAUAUACAUAUAUAAUACAACAUAUCAAGUUUUAACCAGUGGAAAUUGAGUCUAGAGGUGCCUAAAGUAGUUCAAUAGUCAUUCUCAUGCCUAAUUGUAAGAUCUCUUCAAAUCUUCUU